rnacentral:lncRNA from 1 species
CGUAAUCCAGAUUCAAUACGGCCAAAGUUGGAUGGCGGAAUUAUCAUCGAGAGCAUUUUCCUUAUUCAAGCAGGGUGACAAAUUCGUUUGGAAAGUUGGCCACUUUAGGGAAUUCACGGUCAAAGAGGUGCAAAAGUGGAUAAUCAAUAGCAAUAGCUCCCCAAGUUCCAUAUUAAGGUAUAAAUGGUUGGUUCUAUGGCGUAUCAAACUACCUCUCAAGAUCCUAGUUUUUAUAUGAAAAAUUUACAACAAUGGGCUGUCGGUUCGGGUCGAAAUUUAGAAGCAUCCCUACAUUUGGUCUCUGUUGCCCUCUUUGCUAUAAAGUGGAUGAAACCCUUAAUCAUCUUUCUCACAAUUGCACAUUUGCAGCAGUAUGGUUUGGUUCCAAUCAAGGAGUUCAUGUUGAUCAUUUACAAGUUUAGGAUAUCCAUGAAUGGACUGCCAGUUGGUUAGAAGAACUACAAAUCGGCAGGUACAACCGUCACUUUACAUACAGGAAAUUUAUUGUUACGCUUUAGCAAAUCUGGAAGCAUAGGAAUUUUGUUUGCUUCUCAAAUAAGAUGCAACCCCUCUACAAACUAUACAUGCUAUCUCUACGUACUGCGAGUACCUAUACUCAGUCUCUUUGCCACAACGGAAUCACGAUCUCAACGUAGGGACAACUAGGGCUUCGCAUAUAUGACUUGUCUACCAAUUACAAAAGGGUUCGCACAUUAUUUGCUAAGGGUUCGCAUAACUAUUCUUCUAGGGUUCGCUUAAUUGAUCUCAUGAGGUUCGCAUGAUUAUUUCAUUAAAAGUUUACAUUCAUAAGGGUUUUAAGACU